UGCACAGUGCUUUUAGAGCAGCUUGGUUAGUGAGUUCAUAAUCCCAGGCAGAAGUCUCUCUUAGAACUAGUCAAAAUCUUACGGUCCAGCGACUGAAUCCUUUCCGGAGGUGCA
rnacentral:rRNA from 1 species